UACGAAGGGGGCUAGCGGUGUUCGGAAUCACUGGGCGUAAAGCGCACGCAGGCGGAUCGAUAAGUCGGGGGUGAAAGCCCGGGGCUCAACUUCGGAAUUGCCUUCGAUACUGUCGGGCUCGAGUCCGGGAGAGGUGAGUGGAAUUCCCAGUGUAGAGGUGAAAUUCGUAGAUAUUAGGAAGAACACCAGUGGCGAAAGCGGCUCACUGGCCCGGUACUGACGCUCAGGUGCGAAAGCUUGGGGAGCAAAUAGG
rnacentral:rRNA from 1 species